CCUACGGGAGGCAGCAGUGGGGAAUAUUGGACAAUGGGCGAAAGCCUGAUCCAGCAAUGCCGCGUGAGUGAUGAAGGCCUUAGGGUCGUAAAGCUCUUUUACCCGGGAUGAUAAUGACAGUACCGGGAGAAUAAGCUCCGGCUAACUCCGUGCCAGCAGCCGCGGUAAUACGGAGGGAGCUAGCGUUGUUCGGAAUUACUGGGCGUAAAGCGCGCGUAGGCGGUUAUUCAAGUCAGAGGUGAAAGCCCGGGGCUCAACCCCGGAACGGCCUUUGAAACUAGGUAACUAGAAUCUUGGAGAGGUCCAGUGGAAUUCCGAGUGUAGAGGUGAAAUUCGUAGAUAUUCGGAAGAACACCAGUGGCGAAGGCGACUGACCUGGACAAUGUAUUGACGCUGAGGUGCGAAAGCGUGGGGAGCAAACAGGAUUAGAUA
rnacentral:rRNA from 1 species